rnacentral:misc_RNA from 1 species
UGUGGGAGCGGGCUUGCUCGCGAAUGCGGCGUGUCAGUGACUGAUUGUGUCGACUGGCACACCGCAUUCGCGAGCAAGCCCGCUCCCACA